GGGAGUUUGGUGCGUGCGCGCUGUUGCGGACUUGCGGAGUUGCGGUGUUGCCGUGGUGGGCCGUGGGGGACUCGCACGUACGGGCACGACCGAGAGCAGCAGCCGGCCGACGCGAACGACUGCUGUAACCUAGCACCACCAACUGAGACGUGGGGCCAGGCACCCUGGGCCCGCGUGUCGGUGGUACUGUGUGAAGGGUUCUCUUUUAG
rnacentral:lncRNA from 1 species